AAGUCGUAACAAGGUUUCCGUAGGUGAACCUGCGGAAGGAUCAUUACCGAGUAAGGGUCUCCCUCGUGGAGGCCCGACCUCCCAACCCUGUGUUUACUAUACCUGUUUGUGUUGCUUCGGCGGACCGGUGGUCCUCCCCACCCUGGGGAUGACCACCGCCGGGGGAAAAACCACGGUGUUACAACCGUCCCCUGGAGAGUCGUCCGUCGACGGCCCAACCCCAAAACUCCAAACCAAACCAAAUUUUUUAUUGUGAAAUCCACAACCCUUCUGAAUCAGACCUUUGAUGUAACAAAUCAAAAACAAAACUUUCAACAACGGAUCUCUUGGUUCUG
rnacentral:misc_RNA from 1 species